GUGCCAGCCGCCGCGGUAACACGGGGGGAGCAAGCGUUGUUCGGAAUCACUGGGCGUAAAGGGCGUGUAGGCGGCCAAGUAAGUGAGAUGUGAAAUUCCCCGGCUCACCCGGGGACCUGCAUCUCAUACUGCCUGGCUUGAGUACGGGAGAGGAUGUGGGAAUUCCUGGUGUAGCGGUGAAAUGCGUAGAUAUCAGGAGGAACACCGGUGGCGAAAGCGCACAUCUGGCCCGAUACUGACGCUGAGGCGCGAAAGCUAGGGGAGCAAACGGGAUUAGAUACCCCCGUAGUCC
rnacentral:rRNA from 1 species